UACGAAGGGGGCUAGCGUUGUUCGGAAUUACUGGGCGUAAAGCGCACGUAGGCGGACUUUUAAGUCAGGGGUGAAAUCCCGGGGCUCAACCUCGGAACUGCCUUUGAUACUGGAAGUCUUGAGUAUGGAAGAGGUAAGUGGAAUUGCGAGUGUAGAGGUGAAAUUCGUAGAUAUUCGCAGGAACACCAGUGGCGAAGGCGGCUUACUGGUCCAUUACUGACGCUGAGGUGCGAAAGCGUGGGGAGCGAACAGG
rnacentral:rRNA from 1 species